rnacentral:rRNA from 1 species
AGCUCCAAUAGCGUAUAUUAAUGCUGUUGCAGUUAAAAAGCUCGUAGUUGGAUAUCUGUGUAGGCGUUCUGUUCUGCGGCUCACGCUGUGGAAAUGUGAAUUUAGCUUACGCAUAAUUGAGUGAAAGUUCUGCUGGUAUUAGCUUAUCGGUGUUCGGCAACUCAUCAUUUACUGUGAAAAAAUUAGAGUGUUCAAAGCAGGCUUAGGCCGUUGGAUACAUUAGCAUGGAAUAAUAAGAUAGGGCCCUGGUGUCCUGAUUUGUUGGUUUGCACGCCAGGGUAAUGAUUAACAGGGAUAGUUGGGGGUAUUCGUAUUCAAUUGUCAGAGGUGAAAUUCUUGGAUUUAUGGAAGACGAACUACUGCGAAAGCAUUUACCAAGGAUGUUUUCAUUAAUCAAGAA